GCAGAUAUGAUAUCAAUAAGCGGAGGAAGUCUCCGGUACCUCUUGGCGUUUCCUCGGAUGGAUAAGCGGAGGAAGUUACGUAUAAAAAGUGUAUCUCAAGAGUGGAGAAGUCCGAUAAACCACUUAAUUAUCACAACUUUCAACAAUGGACCACUUGGUUCUGGCAUCGAUGAAGAACGCAGCGAAAUGCGAAAAGUAGUGUGAAUUGCAGAAUUCCGUGAAUCAUCGAAUCUUUGAACGCACAUUGCGCCCCUCGGUAUUCCGUGGGGCAUGCCUGUUCGAGCGUCAUUUACACCCUCAAGCUCUGCUUGGUGUUGGGCGUCUGUCCCGCCUCCGCGCGUGGACUCGCCCUAAAGUUAUUGGCAGCGGUCGUGCCAGCUUCUCGUGCAGCACAUUGCGCUUCUUGAAGCCCUGGCGGAUCGGCGUCCAGCAAGCCUCUCCAUAAUUUGACCUCGGAUCAGGUAGGGAUACCCGCUGAACUUAAGCAUAUCAUAGGC
rnacentral:rRNA from 1 species